UGGAAACAGUCCCAGCCCUUGACUUCCGGGAAAGGGAGAGGGUCUAGAGAUGGAGUUCAAUCACUAAUGGCCAAUGAUUUAAUCAAGCAUGGCUUUGUAAUGAAGUCUCUAUAAAAACCCAAAAGGAUAGAGUUUUGACAGCCUCCAGGUUGGUGAACAAAUGGAGAUUUGGGGAGAGUGGCAUGCUCAGAGCCAGCAUGGGAUCUCCUCACCCUUGCCCAAUACCUCGCCUUAUACAUUUCUUCCAUCUGGCUGUUCUUGAGUUAUAUCCUUUUAUAAUAAAUUGGUGAUCUGACCUCUGAAGUGCACGGCGUGUCUAUUUCAGACCCAGCCCUGGAUGCUUCACCUGCUGCGUGUGUUUAGGAACGCAAAUCUGGACCUUCAGCCUCACCCACGAGAAGGUGCUGAGCCUGACCUCGCAGUCAAGACCCCUGGAGAAGAUCAAGCUGAACACAGCAUCAAGUCAGAAAGCCACAAAAGGGCUUCGACCUUUUUCAAAUAAA